UUUGUGGUGUUACAGGCUAUUCAACAUUUGUCAGGAAAAAUUCCUGGCUGCUUCAUACACUUAAUGAAAGCCAAGCACAUUUCCUUGACUCAUUUUGGGUAUUGCGCAAAGGAAACACAUGUUAAAGUGGCAGUGUUUGAAGGAAGAACUCGGCGUAUGUUAAUGAUAAGGAUUGUCAUCAUGUGGGCCAAUCCAAAGGAAAGGAUGAGACCGCAUUCUGAUUUUAUGUACAGAGUAAGCCAAUAGUAUUUCUAUUGCCCUAAAGAGAGGAUUGCUGCAAGUUGCUCUGUUAUGUUUUCAUGAUUGUUUUAUUAUUCACUGGUGUUGUGGUAGCAUCCAGUGGCCUCACUUAUGAGUCAGGCUAGUAGAAUGAUGGAUGUGCUGCACCCAUUCAAGAAAGUGUUCUAUUAGCGUCCUGUCAGCAACUGUAUAUGACAGCAAGAUGGAAAUGGAGACCAGAACUGCGUGAUGGAGAGGCAAUUAUUACAAUAAUCUCAGUUAUUCUACGGUAUCAUUGAUGAGAAUGUAGUGAUUGGUAUUGAAAGACAAGACAUACUCCACAUUUCCUCCAUGCUUGCUUACUUAAGAUUUGCAUUUUUAAUGCUGCAAGUGUCUCAAUUGCAAUCAUAUCAUUGGGUUUAUCCCAGAGCCGUAUCUAUUGGGCACUAGUACUUUAUUUUCUACCCAUUCCUUUUCAGAUCCCAUGGUUUCCAGAGAUUUUUCCACUGUCAGUUAAAGUUCAGAACAGUCUCCCCAGCAAAAACAAGACAAGAGUGCUGUAAUACCACCUUUGAAUUGAAGCACGUCUCAAGCCUACAGUCAGUUAAGUGAUUUUUGUUUCAUAAUGUCAUUGAAAAGUAUUGAAUUUACUUGAGAUGCACUAUAAAAUAUUAUGAAAUCUGUCUUUGCUGGGUUUUUAACAGCUUGUGAAAUUUCAUUCCUUAUUAAAUUUCUAGACUUCCAUUUAUUAAUUUCUGUUACGAAGGAUUUUGAUUAAUAUUGGGAGCCCUGCGGUUUUACAGUUUUAUACUGCUGUAUGUAUUGUAUUGCAGUUAUUUUACUAAGGGAGCCAGACAGGGUAACUUAAGAAAUGUAAAUUUAUGGCUUAUUAGACCACUUUUAUUUUAGCAAGUGCACAACUGCAAAUACACUAGAGAACAUUGAUGUAUUAAUAUUGCUUGAUAGUCCUUUGAUAGCACCAUACUAAAUACAACUUGCAAAGGCAAAAGAGAGAUUCUUAGCAUUUUUUGUUUAUGAUGUGUAAGACUUUCUGAAAGGGUGUUAUGGGGGGAUUACUUGUGUAGUUGGGUUUGGGGGUUUUGCAUGCUUGGGUUCGGGGGGGAAGGAGAGGACUGUUUCUUUAUUUCUCCACGCGGGGCUUGAAUUCUCAUGAGUGGUCUGCCUGCCCCCAGAUGCGCGCCUGUGUAUGGACCCAAAGCUGAUGCCCCACAGCCUGCCCAGCUCCCUGGCCACCUCAGAUCAACCUCAGUGUUCUCUCAGCCUUGAGAACCCUGCAGCUCCCUGGCCUAAAAGCUCGGAUCAACAUUGCACACACCCUGAAGGCAGCCAGACCUUGAGGAGGGCGGAUGCUCUUAGCACCUCGAGAGAGCAGGGAGCUGCAGUGUGCAGCAUAGGAGCAGCUACAGAAGUGCUGAAGCUCAGCGUUAAAAAGGACAUCAUGGCAGCUGUGAAGAGUCCAGCAGCACAAGUAGGUUAAUGGUGCUGGUGUGAUCUGUCACAGAUACACCUUACUGAAGACUGACAUGCCUACGACAAGACUUGGAUGAUAAUGGUCUGUCUGGUUUAUGGAAAAAGUGAGGAAAAAAUUGCCAAGCAGCAGCAUUAAACUGAUGAUGCCUCUCCAGUCAGUUUUCUCUGGUCUGGCUGUCUCCUGUUUCCUGAAGUUUUGAAUCUAGGAGCUGUUACAGACAGAAGGUUUGGGAUAUAUGCACUGCUCUCAGUUUCCAGUGAAAUGGAUGGGAACUGGGACACUUUCAGCAGCAAGCUCCUUCUGACCAUGCAUUGGGAGUCCCCAUCUCCUCAUACCCAGAAGCAGAAGAAAGGCCAUGUGCUGCCAUCUGAGGAAAGGCUGGGUUUAGCAUUAUACUCCUGUAGAGCAAAACUGGACCCUGGAAACUCCACCCAGCUCUCUGACUUUACUUGCAUUACACUCUUUGUAGUGAAUUGAGGCUGACUGGACUGGGUGCUCUGUGGUAUUCUGCAUUCAUUUAAGCCUUCACAACACAAGUCAUCGAUAGACAGAAUGGCUGCUCUGGCCAUUGCCAAGCAAGUGAAAGCAAGAUGUUCUGUUGGGCACUUUCUAUAUCCAGCACACUGCUGUCUUCAUCUUCGGAUGCCUGAGUAUCCUAAACAUGCCUGGAUAUCUUACUAUUAAAUUAUGAGUGAGAAACUGAUUAAUUGUUCCCUGACCUUCAGUUUCUUCAUUGAGACUGUGUCACCAAACAAUAUUUUAUGUCACCAGGAGACAGCAGAUGUAAAUCAAAUAUCUGCCUGCUCCAGAAUAUCUAACAGGGGAGGAAAUUACUUCCAUCCGUUAACACAGCAGAUUUUAGAGAGGAUUUUCUGCCUUCCAAAUUCAGUUUUAAAAUGCAGGCUCACUGCACAGGCACAGGUCUGCCUGUUGGUGUCCAGCACAAGGGGCAUUGCCUCAGUUUGCCUGCAGCACUGGCAAGAACAACCUGCCGCUGUCUCCCAUCUUCUAAAUGUUUUUUUAUGACUAUGUAAAUUAAAAACUGUAAGUGAAAAUAUCCAAGAUGAAUUUAGGUUCUGGGUUUCUCUAGAAGGAAAUGUAGUGGGUAUCCUUUCUCAGUAAAUUCUAACAGAAUAAAAUAUAACAUAUAAUAAAUUCUCAAUAAAAUCUAAUUC